GGCAGGGUUAGUCGGUACCUAAGUUCAGGCUGAAAAGCGUAGACGACGGAUAACAGGUUAAUUUUCCUGUACCGCGUACAUUGCGAUGGGAUGACAGAGUAGGUAAGGCAAGGCGGACAACGGUUGCUCCGCUUCGAGGAUGUAGGUAGUAAGAGAGGUUAAAUGAUCUUUUACGAUGAUCUGAGAUCUGAUGUCCAAAAAGGUAUUCCUUUUAGGUUGCUCUCUCCACACUCUCAGGAAAAGUCCCUAAGCUUCAGAUGUACGUCGGCCGUACCCCAAACCGACACAGGUGGUCGGGUAGAAGAUACCAAGGCGCUUGGGAGAACCCGGGUGAAGGAACUAGGCAAAAUUGUACCGUAACUUCGGGAGAAGGUACGCUGAAGUGAGUGUAAAGAUUUACUCUUGAAGCUUACUUCAGCCGCAGAUAAAUGGCGGCUGGGACUGUUUAACAAAAACACAGCACUCUGCUAACCUGAAAGGGGAUGUAUAGGGUGUGACACCUGCCCGGUGCCGGAAGGUUAAAUGAUGAGGUGAGUUUUUUUACGAAGCCUCUGAGUGAAGCCCCGGUAAACGGCGGCCGUAACAAUAACGGUCCUAAGGUAGCGAAAUUCCUUGUCGGGCAAGUUCCGACCUGCACGAAUGGUGUAACCAUGGCCGCGCUGUCUCCACCCGGGACCCAGUGAAACCGAAAUCGCUGUGAAGAUGCAGUGUACCCGCGGCUAGACGGAAAGACCCCGUGAACCUUUACUGCAGCUUGACACUGAACCUUGAACCUGUUUGCGCAGGAUAGGCGGGAGGCAUUGAAGAGAAGUUUCCGGACUUCUCGGAGCCGUUGGUGAAAUACCGCCCUGACAGUUUUGAGGUUCUAACUUGUGACUCACAUCAGAGGACAGUGUCUGGCGGGAAGUUUGACUGGGGCGGUCUCCUCCCAAAGAGUAACGGAGGAGCACGAAGGUCGGCUGAUCACGGUCGGAAACCGUGAGAUCAGUGUAAUGGCAUAAGCCGGCUUGACUGCAAGAGGUACAUCUCGAGCAGGUGCGAAAGCAGGUCAUAGUGAUCCGGUGGUCCCAUAUGGACGGGCCAUCGCUCAACGGAUAAAAGGUACUCUGGGGAUAACAGGCUGAUACCGCCCAAGAGUUCAUAUCGACGGCGGUGUUUGGCACCUCGAUGUCGGCUCAUCACAUCCUGGGGCUGUAGUCGGUCCCAAGGGUAUGGCUGUUCGCCAUUUAAAGUGGUACGCGAGCUGGGUUCAAAACGUCGUGAGACAGUUUGGUCCCUAUCUACCGCGGGCGUUGGAUGAUUGAGAGGGUUUGCUCCUAGUACGAGAGGACCGGAGUGAACGAGCCUCUGGUUUACGGGUUGUCAUGCCAAUGGCACGGCCCGGCAGCCAAGCCCGGAACUGAUAACCGCUGAAAGCAUCUAAGCGGGAAGCAGGCCUCAAGAUGAGUCAUCCCGAACUUUAAGUUCAUAAAGACCGUUGCAGACUACGACGUUGAUAGGUCGGAAGUGGAAGUGCUGUGAAGCAUGAAGCCUGCCGAUACUAAUUGUCUGAAUGUCUUGGCU
rnacentral:rRNA from 1 species